UGNUAUACAACGAUGAAGAUACUUAGGUUUUNGGCCNGUCANCNGUCCAGAGCCGCAGCUAACGCGUUAAGUAUUCCGCNUGGGGAGUACGCUCGCAAGAGUGAAACUCAAAGNNAUUGACGGGGGCCCGCACAAGCGGUGGAGCAUGUGGUUUAAUUCGACGCAACGCGCAGAACCUUACCAAGGCUUGACAUGGGAAAGACUGCACGAGAGAUCGUGCUUCUCCAGCAAUGGAGCUUUCCACACAGGUGCUGCAUGGCUGUCGUCAGCUCGUGUCGUGAGAUGUUGGGUUAAGUCCCGCAACGAGCGCAACCCUCGUUUCUAGUUGCCAUCAUUCAGUUGGGCCCUCUAGAGAGACUGCCGCGAAUAACGCGGAGGAAGGUGGGGACGACGUCAAGUCAUCAUGGCCCUUACGUCUUGGGCUACACACGUGCUACAAUGGGCAUUACAAAGGGUUGCAAGAGCGCAAGCUGGAGCCAAUCCCCAAAGGUGCCCUCAGUUCAGAUUGAGGUCUGCAACUCGACCUCAUGAAGGUGGAAUCGCUAGUAAUCGCGGAUCAGAACGCCGCGGUGAAUGCGUUCCCGGGCCUUGUACANNACCCGCCCGUCAAACCACGAAAGGAGAGAGCGCUUCUAAGUCGCUUUUGUAACCCGCA
rnacentral:rRNA from 1 species